rnacentral:rRNA from 1 species
AUUGAACGCUGGCGGCAGGCCUAACACAUGCAAGUCGAGCGGAUGAAGGGAGCUUGCUCCUGGAUUCAGCGGCGGACGGGUGAGUAAUGCCUAGGAAUCUGCCUGGUAGUGGGGGAUAACGUCCGGAAACGGGCGCUAAUACCGCAUACGUCCUGAGGGAGAAAGUGGGGGAUCUUCGGACCUCACGCUAUCAGAUGAGCCUAGGUCGGAUUAGCUAGUUGGUGGGGUAAAGGCCUACCAAGCCGACGAUCCGUAAAUGGUCUGAGAGGAUGAUCAGUCACACUGGAACUGGGACACGGUCCAGACUCCUAAGGGAGGCAGCAGUGGGGAAUAGUGGGCAAUGGGCGAAAGCCUGAUCCAGCCAGGCCGCGUGUGUGAAAAAGGUCUUCGGAGUGGAAAGCACUUUAAGUUGGGAGGAAGGGCAGUAAGUUAAUACCUUGCUGUUUUGACGUUACCAACAGAAUAAGCACCGGCUAACUUCGUG